CAAGAAGCUGUUGCUCUUUGUCCAUUCAGUAAGAAGAAACAAGCAUGGCUCUCCCUUUGUCCUUUUCACCGAAGCUUGUGGAGUAGGAAAAAUGAAGAAAAAACGAGUCUCCAAAAAUGUAGCCUAGCGAGCCCCAGUCAUCUCAAGGGAGGCGCCUCGCCCUCCCCAGGAGUCCCGGAGACCAGGCUCUUCCAGAGGCCAGCCAGUUACCUGAAGGACAGAGGGACGACCAGCAGAGAGGCGCCCCACGUUCUUGUGUGGCAACACCUAGGAGGAAGAAAGUUUCUCACAAGGUUCGAAGUUCACCGGGGUGUCCCAAAUUAGCGGGAGGAUUUCUUCUUCCUUGAAAAUUUCGGGUUUCCCCACAGCAACCACAGGAGCCAUGGAAUCUGCUGCCUGAGGGCUGUGGUGGGAACCUGAGUGAAGCUGGGAACUGAAGUCAUUUGGUUUCUAAUUGGUUUUUUAAAAAUUCCACUCAGAAAAAUCGUCUGGCUGUCUGCAGUUCACGGCAGCUUAGGAGAGGCUAGGCGGCUGGGCUCCGAGCUCGGGCCCACCCGGGGUGAGUCUCUGGCUCUCGGCAGGGAGAAGGUGUCCACGGGAUGUUGUGCACACCCAUGCCUGGACGAGGACGCCUGGGGAGCCCUGAACUGAACAAAACAAGGCAACCAGCAGCCAUGCCGGAGAAACCUCAGCAGCCCUCCCCAAGCCCAGCUGCCCCUGGUGGUCGAGUCGGGCACCCAGCCCCGGGUGACACCGGAUUAUACCGGCCCCUCCUCCGGCUGCCUGCUGAGCCCUAGCUCCUCCGUGAUGGUUCUCACCAGGCCCUGCGUGUUCUGAUUGAGCUGGGAAUUGCUGAUGACAACCCUUUCCUUGGUGCUGCCACCAGGAUCCUCACUCCUGCCCCUCCUGUGGCUCCCAGUAUGGAUGACCGGCCGAUCAGCUGGGCCCUGGAAGGACCAACAGUCUCCAGCCAACAGCCGAAUUGCCCAUCUGCUCACCAGCUACUCCCUGAGUACUGGAAUGUUCCAGGCCUAGGCAAGGCCAACACCAAACCAAACAGAAACCAGCAAGCAGCUGCAGGUGACAAGGCCACAGUGUUGGGAGGGGACUUCAGAAGCCAGUGGUCAGUAUCUGGGAGGGUGCCUUGUGCCUCUGGCCUGGAGAGGUGACCAAAGAGGCCUGUAAAAGAGCAUCUUAUCUCAGGCUGUUCCCCAAUUUCUGGCCUCCUUUUCAGUCAGUGUUUGUUGCUGUGUUGCUACAGAGACACUGCAACCCUGAACUCCUUUUCACUAAUAAGUAGAUUUCUUAUGCACAACCGUGAGCCAAACAUGCUAAUUUAUUUGGUCUCAUUUUCUCAAGUUAAA
rnacentral:lncRNA from 1 species